rnacentral:rRNA from 1 species
UGGGGAAUAUUGCACAAUGGGCGCAAGCCUGAUGCAGCAACGCCGCGUGAGGGAUGACGGCCUUCGGGUUGUAAACCUCUUUUAGUAGGGAAGAAGCGAAAGUGACGGUACCUGCAGAAAAAGCACCGGCUAACUACGUGCCAGCAGCCGCGGUAAUACGUAGGGUGCGAGCGUUGUCCGGAAUUAUUGGGCGUAAAGAGCUCGUAGGCGGUCUGUCGCGUCUGCUGUGAAAACCCGAGGCUCAACCUCGGGCCUGCAGUGGGUACGGGCAGACUAGAGUGCGGUAGGGGAGAAUGGAAUUCCUGGUGUAGCGGUGGAAUGCGCAGAUAUCAGGAGGAACACCGAUGGCGAAGGCAGUUCUCUGGGCCGUAACUGACGCUGAGGAGCGAAAGCGUGGGGAGCGAACAGGAUUAGAUACCCUGGUAGUCCACGCCGUAAACGUUGGGCGCUAGAUGUGGGGACCAUUCCACGGUUUCCGUGUCGCAGCU